rnacentral:lncRNA from 1 species
CGCCGCUGCCUCCUCCUGCCGCCGCGCUAGGCUGCCUGCGCCUGCGCCAUGGCCACCGCCCGCCGAGCCCGGCUCGCUGCCGCCCGCCCGCGCCGCCUCCGGCAGCUCAGGUCUGGAUCCAUCAGGAUGCAGCAGUUCCCAACUGACCUAGGUUCCUGUACCUUGAUACCCCCAAAGGGAGACUUUAAUCUGCCUGUAACUUCUACUAGCCACUUUGGACUUGGCCCCUUAUAUCUGGGGUUAAAACAGAAAGGACAUAGACCAGAUGCUGCAUUGGAACAAGCUACCUAAAGAAGUUGCGGAAUCUUCAUCCCUGGAAAUUUUCAAGAGCAGAUUGGACAGACAUGUGGCUGGGAUGACUUAGUCAGGGACUAUCCUUCCUUGAAGAGGGGCUGAACUAGAAGACCUUAUGAGGUUUCCACCAGCCCUACUUUUACUAUGAUCCUAUGUUCAUACUUCCAUUGGCUUCCAGGAGGGGUGUGAAGAGGGUAUUCAUAUCUUAAGAAUUAAGUAUAUAUUUAAACAGACGAGGUUCUUUGGGUGAAUCUGAUAUCUUUUAUUAGACCAACUUAAAUAGUUGGAAAACAAUUAUUAAGCAAGCAUACCAGACCAGCCUCUGGAUUCUUUACUUUUCAUUCCAUCCAGAAAGAGCACACACCAACUGCUGAAACUUCCUUAGCCGGACGAAGAACCUUGUCUGCCUAUGUCCUUAGACCAACACAGCUACAACCUAUACCCCUGGCACAUAUUUAAAUACUUUCCUAAAUCAGAAGAGAUUUCAGGAUUGGGUCCUGAGUUUCUGAACUGUUCUCUGUGUGUCUGCAUUUGACUCUGAUUUCCUAUGGGCAGAAAAAGUAUGUUAUAGCACUGACCAUAACGUGUUUGUGCAGGUCUUCAAACCACUUGGCAUUAAUACGGUAAAAUGCUUUGAAGGUGAAAAGAGUUAAUCAAGUGCCGAGUUGCACACUUGUUACCACGAGAGCCUAAGGGGGAAAGUCCACAGCAUUAUCAAGAAAGAUUGAACAGUUGAACAGUGCGGGCCCGAGGACCGAGCCCUGCGGAACCCCACUGCCCACAUCCCUCCAGGUCAAAAAUGACCCGUCUACCACCACUCUGUGGGUGCGACCCUCCAGCCAGUCAGCAACCCAUUUGACUGUGUAGGUGUUGACACCACAGUCCCCCAGUUUCUUAAUGAGAACGGGGUGAGAGACAGUGUUGAAGGCCUUCCGAAAGUCCAGGAAGACUAUGUCCACUG